AGAGCGGUAAAGCAAACGGAGCGCAGCUCGUGCGACGGAUCUCGGUGGAUUCCAUGCUGGCGGUACAGCUUAUCUGCAGGGUCAACAAAAUUGGGUCGUUAUUCAGGCGGUAUUAGUGACAAGUAUAUAUCGCGCGCAAAAAGUUACAUUCCUUGUCGGUGGCAAAUCGGCGCGAUUAACGUUUAUCGCCUUGGACACACAAGUAUGUACAUAUGUAUGUAGCUACUGCAGGCAGUAAAAUCUGUCCCGAUAAGCGAACGGAAACGGUGCGGGGAGUCCCACGCUCUACCAUCCGCAAAUCGUUGCCUACUUUCCUGCAUCGCUGACCGCGAAAUCUCCCACACAACGUUGCCUAUUUUCCUGCAACGCCACGCAGGAAAAAACAAAAAGAGGCUACAAAACUGAACUUUCGAAGCAAGAAAAAUAAUAUUCUGUUAUCUCCUUUAUGUGAAAAUAUGUGAAAAAUGUAGGAUUUUCAAUUUAUAAUGCAUUAAUUAUUAAUAUAACAACUUAUAAAAGUAAGGUAAUGAAAAUCCAAGACUUUGCCGAAACUUAGGUGCCGCGCUGAAGAAGUGAAGGGCAUUGCACAAGGGAAGUGCCAACCAACGGUAAACAACAAACAUUGGUGGCAACAAAAGCAACUAAAGGGCAAGGGAAAGCGAGAAAGGAAGUUAGGAAAUGGCAAUAAUCUCGUUCGUUCGCUCGCUCUCUCCCUCUCUUAUUCUUUUUCACUUUUACCGUGCUAACUGCAAACGGAGUUCACACAUAUCGCAAAAAAGAAAAGAGCAAGCAAACUCACCGUAAGCGAUUUGCGCCGUUUGCCGCAGCGCAUUGUGUUUAGUGCCCGUUGACUCCUUGAUAAUGAGCAAGAAGAGGUCCUCCAUAUUGCCCGUCUCUUUCUAAGCCUUUCUGUAGUUGUGUGCGUUUCUGUGGGCCAAAUGUCGCUCUGGUGGUGUGCGUGCGUUUAUGUCGCUGCUUCAGGCGAUUCCGCUUGCUGUGGUUGUUGCUUCGCCCUUGCACGCCAUCAUAGGUAGUAACAACAACAACAACUCAAUUAGCGCCUAAAAAAUUGGUAGUAAAAUCAAUACAAACGAAAAUAAUAACAAUAGAGCUACGGCGAAGGAUGAUUGUAUACAUAUGUUAUGUUGCCGCCAUAUGUAUGCACACACAUACACACACACAUACGCACUCGCUCUCACACACACGACGGAAAGUUUCAAUGUGGCGUUUUCGCGUCACGUCACUUUUGCACUUUUCAAAAACUUGUGCACACUCAUUGCAAUUGUGCACCUUCGAAAAGUUCAAACAGUGUGUAUCCGUUUUCCUUGAAAAACUUUUCCUACUUUCACACAUACACACACGAACACAUGUACAGGCGAACAAUGCACCAGGCAAUUGCAACGGUACUUCUUUUAUAAAUUAAAUCCAUAUGUCAGGCGAUAUCCACAGCCCCACAAGCACUUUCCACAGCGAUUACUCAUCUGAAAUUACCAUUUCUUGCAAUGGAAAAGGUCCAUAGUCCUUGGUAACGGUAUCCAGCCACCACUUGUGGUUUUUCCCUAUGUUUUCCACCGUUAUUCCGAACUUUACUUUCUGUUUUUUUUUUCCUUUUUCCUCUUGCCUUUCCGGGGAAAAAUGCGCUGCACUUGUCGUUGGAUGCGUCAAAUGCUGUGUGACGCGAAAGGAAAGCACUUUCUCCAUUUACGGCGGAGUGCGCCGUACCGUUAUCAUUGCGCAUGCCUGCCAGUCAGCUGUUCGAUUGUACCAUUUAUCGGUCAGCUGAAAGUUUAGAAAAACCAGGGCAGCGGGCACAAUUUGAAAAAAAACAGCAUUACGACCCAAGGAAAACCUAGUUUCUAUACAACAAGCCGCAUAACCAAUUGCAUGUAGAUUGGGAAAACUCCACAUCCUAUUUUAUUUGGGUCAGUAAAAGACACCACAAAUGCUAAGUUAUUCAAGAGUUUGAUAUGGUUUUAGAUACCCAUACAAAAAUUACUUAGUGCCACGUUUUGCGAAGCUUUAUUUCAAUAAUUUUGAAGUAAAACAACUAAAAAUUAUAAUAAAAAAAAUAAUAAAUUGUGUACAAUUUUUUAUAUAAGCUCUUUUUUGUAUACAAUUUUUUUGUGUAUUCACAAGUACCCGGAAAUCAACUAUAACCUUGAAAUGUUUGUAAGAGUUGUGUGCAGCCCUGUCAAACUUUAAGCUACAGGCCUUGUUUCGUUGCUUUUUAGACUAAUCAAUAAAUAAAAGGAGUCACAGUUAUCCAGUCGAAAAUAAAAUAAGACCUAACAGAA